AAUAUUGGACAGUGGGCGAAAGCGUGAUCCAGCCAUGCCGGGUGUGUGAAGAAGGUCUUCGGAUUGUAAAGCACUUUAAGUUGGGAGGAAGGGCAUUAACUUAAUACGUUAGUGUUUAGACAUUACCGACAGAAUAAGCACCGGCUAACUUCGUGCCAGCAGCCGCGGUAAUACGAAGGGGGCAAGCGUUAAUCGAAAUUACUGGGCGUAAAGCGCGCGUAGGUGGUUCGUUAAGUUGGAUAUAAAGCCCCGGGCUCAACGGGGAACUACAUCCAAAACUAGCGAGUUAGAGUACGGUAGAGGGUGAUGGAAUUUCCUGUGUAGCGGUGAAAUGUGUAGAUAUAGGAAGGAACACCAGUGGUGAAGGCGACCAAUGGACUGAUAUUGACACUGAGGUGCGUAAGCGUGGGGAGCAAUCAAGGAGU
rnacentral:rRNA from 1 species